rnacentral:rRNA from 1 species
UACAGAGGGUGCGAGCGUUAAUCGGAAUUACUGGGCGUAAAGCGCACGUAGGCGGCUUGGUAUGUCGGGUGUGAAAUCCCCGGGCUCAACCUGGGAACUGCAUCCGAAACUGCCUUGCUCGAGUAUGGGAGAGGGAAGUGGAAUUUCCGGUGUAGCGGUGAAAUGCGUAGAUAUCGGAAGGAACAUCAGUGGCGAAGGCGACUUCCUGGACCAAUACUGACGCUCAGGUGCGAAAGCGUGGGGAGCAAACAGGAUUAGAAACCCGGUAGUCC